UCGAACGCGACUGAGGCUUCGGCCUCAGUUGAGUGGCGAACGGGUGAGUAACACGUGGGUGACCUACCUUCGAGUGGGGGAUAACGUCCCGAAAGGGACGCUAAUACCGCAUAACAUCCUUCCUUUGAACAGGAGGAGAUCAAAGCCGGGGAUCGCAAGACCUGGCGCUUGAUGAGGGGCCCGCGUCCGAUUAGCUAGUUGGUGGGGUAAUGGCCUACCAAGGCAACGAUCGGUAGCCGGCCUGAGAGGGCGGACGGCCACACUGGGACUGAGACACGGCCCAGACUCCUACGGGAGGCAGCAGUGGGGAAUUGUUCGCAAUGGGCGCAAGCCUGACGACGCAACGCCGCGUGGAGGAUGAAGGUCUUCGGAUUGUAAACUCCUGUUGCCCGGGACGAACGGCUCCAACCUAAUACGUUGGAGUUUGACGGUACCGGGUGAGGAAGCCCCGGCUAACUCUGUGCCAGCAGCCGCGGUAAUACAGAGGGGGCAAGCGUUG
rnacentral:rRNA from 1 species